rnacentral:rRNA from 1 species
GUGGAUUAGUGGCGAACGGGUGAGUAACACGUGAGUAACCUGCCCCUGACUCUGGGAUAAGCGUUGGAAACGACGUCUAAUACUGGAUAUGACUACUGGUCGCAUGGCCUGGUGGUGGAAAGAUUUUUUGGUUGGGGAUGGACUCGCGGCCUAUCAGCUUGUUGGUGAGGUAAUGGCUCACCAAGGCGACGACGGGUAGCCGGCCUGAGAGGGUGACCGGCCACACUGGGACUGAGACACGGCCCAGACUCCUACGGGAGGCAGCAGUGGGGAAUAUUGCACAAUGGGCGAAAGCCUGAUGCAGCAACGCCGCGUGAGGGAUGACGGCCUUCGGGUUGUAAACCUCUUUUAGUAGGGAAGAAGCGAAAGUGACGGUACCUGCAGAAAAAGCACCGGCUAACUACGUGCCAGCAGCCGCGGUAAUACGUAGGGUGCAAGCGUUGUCCGGAAUUAUUGGGCGUAAAGAGCUCGUAGGCGGUUUGUCGCGUCUGCUGUGAAAUCCCGAGGCUCAACCUCGGGCUUGCAGUGGGUACGGGCAGACUAGAGUGCGGUAGGGGAGAUUGGAAUUCCUGGUGUAGCGGUGGAAUGCGCAGAUAUCAGGAGGAACACCGAUGGCGAAGGCAGAUCUCUGGGCCGUAACUGACGCUGAGGAGCGAAAGCGUGGGGAGCGAACAGGAUUAGAUACCCUGGUAGUCCACGCCGUAAACGUUGGGCGCUAGAUGUAGGGACCUUUCCACGGUUUCUGUGUCGUAGCUA